GAUGAACGCUAGCUACAGGCUUAACACAUGCAAGUCGAGGGGUAACGAGAGGAAAGCUUGCUUUCCUUGUCGACGACCGGCGCACGGGUGAGUAACGCGUAUCCAACCUGCCCCCAACUAAGGAAUAACCUUGCGAAAGUAAGACUAAUACCUUAUAAUUUCCUCAGAUGUCAUCUGACGAGGAAUAAAGAUUUAUCGGUUGUGGAUGGGGAUGCGUCUGAUUAGCUUGUUGGCGGGGUAUCGGCCCACCAAGGCAACGAUCAGUAGGGGUUCUGAGAGGAAGGUCCCCCACAUUGAGACUGCGACACGGUCCAAACUCCUACGGGAGGCAGCAGUGAGGAAUAUUGUUCAAUGGGCGAAAGCCUGAACCGGCCAAGUAGCGUGCAGGAUGACGGCCCUAUGGGUUGUAAACUGCUUUUAUACAGGUAUAAAGUUAGCCACGUGUGGUUAUUUGUAGGUACUGUAUGAAUAAGGACCGGCUAAUUCCGUGCCAGCCGCCGCAGUAA
rnacentral:rRNA from 1 species